rnacentral:rRNA from 2 species
UGGGCAACCUGCCUGUAAAACUGGGAUAACUCCGGGAAACCGGGGCUAAUACCGGAUAAUUCUUUCCCUCUCAUGAGGAAAUGCUGAAAGACGGCUUUUGCUGUCACUUACAGAUGGGCCCGCGGCGCAUUAGCUAGUUGGUGAGGUAACGGCUCACCAAGGCAACGAUGCGUAGCCAACCUGAGAGGGUGAUCGGCCACACUGGGACUGAGACACGGCCCAAACUCCUACGGGAGGCAGCAGUAGGGAAUCUUCCGCAAUGGACGAAAGUCUGACGGAGCAACGCCGCGUGAGCGAAAAAGGCCUUCGGGUCGUAAAGCUCUGUUGUUAGGGAAGAACAAGUAUCGGAGUAACUGCCGGUACCUUGACGGUACCUAACCAGAAAGCCACGGCUAACUACGUGCCAGCAGCCGCGGUAAUACGUAGGUGGCAAGCGUUGUCCGGAAUUAUUGGGCGUAAAGCGCGCGCAGGCGGUCCUUUAAGUCUGAUGUGAAAGCCCACGGCUCAACCGUGGAGGGUCAUUGGAAACUGGGGGACUUGAGUGCAAAAGAGGAGAGUGGAAUUCCACGUGUAGCGGUGAAAUGCGUAGAGAUGUGGAGGAACACCAGUGGCGAAGGCGACUCUCUGGUCUGUAACUGACGCUGAGGCGCGAAAGCGUGGGGAGCGAACAGGAUUAGAUACCCUGGUAGUCCACGCCGUAAACGAUGAGUGCUAAGUGUUAGAGGGUUUCCGCCCUUUAGUGCUGCAGCAAACGCAUUAAGCACUCCGCCUGGGGAGUACGGCCGCAAGGCUGAAACUCAAAGGAAUUGACGGGGGCCCGCACAAGCGGUGGAGCAUGUGGUUUAAUUCAAAGCAACGCGAAGAACCUUACCAGGUCUUGACAUCCUCUGACACUCCUAGAGAUAGGAUUUUCCCCUUCGGGGGACAAAGUGACAGGUGGUGCAUGGUUGUCCUCAGCUCGUGUCGUGAAAUGUUGGGUUAAGUCCCGCAACGAGCGCACCCUUGUCCUUAGUUGCCAGCAUUCAGUUGGGCACUCUAAGGAAACUGCCGGUGACAACCGGAGGAAAGGGUGGGGAUGACGUCAAAUCAUCAGGCCCCUUAAGACUGGGGCUAGUGGGGUAACCUUUUGGGGCCAGCCGCCUAAGG